rnacentral:rRNA from 1 species
UACAGAGACUGCAAGCGUUAUUCGGAUUCACUGGGCGUAAAGGGUGCGCAGGCGGCCAAGUGUGUUAGGCGUGAAAGCCCGGGGCUUAACCUCGGAAUUGCACCUAAAACUACAUGGCUAGAGCAUUGGAGAGGGGAGCAGAAUUCACGGUGUAGCAGUGAAAUGCGUAGAUAUCGUGAGGAAUACCAGAGGCGAAGGCGGCUCCCUGGACAAUUGCUGACACUCAGGCACGAAAGCGUGGGUAGCAAACAGG